rnacentral:tRNA from 1 species
GGCUGGGUAGCUCAGUCGGUACGAGCGAUCGCCUGAAAAGCGAUAGGUCGCCGGUUCGAUCCCGGCCCCAGCCACCA